rnacentral:rRNA from 1 species
CUGUGCAAAGGUAGCAUAAUCAUUAGUUUUUUAAUUGAAGGCUUGUAUGAAGGGUCUGACAAAGAAAAAGCUGUCUUUAAUUUUAUUUUUGAAUUUAACUUUUAAGUGAAAAGGCUUAAAUAAAUUUAAGGGACGAUAAGACCCUAUAAAUCUUUAUAUUAAAUUAUUAUCUUGAAUUUUAAUGGUUUGUCUAGAUUGUUAAGUAAAGUAAUAAAUAUUUUGUUGGGGUGAUGAGAAUAUAAAAAUAACUGUUCUAAAACGAAACAAAGUUGUUUGAAAAUAAUUUAUAGAUCCUUCUUAGAGAUUAAAAGUUUAAGUUACUUUAGGGAUAACAGCGUUAUUUUUUUUGAGAGUUCUUAUCGAAAAAAAAGUUUGCGACCUCGAUGUUGAAUUAAAAUUUCUCUACGGUGUAGAAGUUGUGGGAGAGAGUCUGUUCGACUUUUGAAAUUUU